AUGCUCUUGAGCCCUUCGCGCCACCCACCACCCUGCGGUCGAUCACGGGCUCACGAUGGCCGCGCUCGCAGAUCUCAUGCCCCCGCGAAAUGGCCGGGGGCGGCGAUGGCGGCGCUCGCGGCCGCCGUGUUCGCGGCCCUCGACGUCGUCGACGUGCUCCUCUGCCUCGUCUACGGCGUCCUCGACGGCUUCCUGGAGGAGAGCCCGCUCGGCUGCUACUGCCACCGGAACCGCGGCAAGGCGGCGGCGACGGGGGAGGAGGAGGCCGACGGGGUGUCCGACACAUUGUACGUCCGGAGGAGCGCGUGCCGGGACGCGCUGCUGCGGCUCCUCGGGCCGGUCGGCGGGGGGACGAGGAGGAAGGAGGACGCGUCGCCGGCGAAGGCCCGGAGCCCGCGGUGGUCCGACUGCGGAUGCGGGAAGUGCGGGAAGUGGUGGAGCAACGGCGGCGACCGGCUGCACUUCGUCCUGCAGGAGCCGACGGCGCCCAACAAAGGUGCAGAGGAGACGCGGAGCGAGAGUGAUCGCGGAGACGACGCCAUCUUCAUCCACGGCUUCACGUCCUCCUCCUCCUUCUGGGCGCAGACCGUGUUCCCCGAACCCGCCGCCGCGAACCACCGCAGGCUGAUCGCCGUGGAUCUCCUCGGCUUCGGCGACAGCCCCAAGCCGGCGAACUGCGCGUACACGUUGCGGGACCACGUCGAGGCCAUCGAGCGGAGCCUCGUCGAUCCGCUCCACCUGGGCUCCUUCCACCUCGUCAGCCACUCGAUGGGCUGCACCAUCGCCAUCGCCCUGGCCGCCAAGCACCCGGCGCGGGUCAAAUCGGUCACGCUCGUCGCCCCGCUGUACUUCCUGCCGUGCGAGGAGAGGGCGAGCCAGGUGGCCCUGCGCAGGCUCGCCGAGAAGAAGCUCUGGCCGCCGUUGCUGUUCGGCUCGGCGGUGAUGUCUUGGUACGAGCACAUCGGGAGGACCAUCUGCUUCGUCGUCUGCAAGAACCACCGGUUCUGGGAGUGGCUCAUCAAGAUCCUCACGCGCACGAGCGGCGUGGACAUCGUGGUGAGGGACCUGACGAGGCACACGCACCACUCGGCGUGGCACACGAUGCACAACGUGAUCUGCGGCGGGGCGAGGGCGCAGGACCGGAACCUGGAGGCGCUGGCGGCGGCGGGGGUGCCGGUGAGGGUGGUUCACGGCGACGCAGACCAGGUGGUCCCGGUCGAGUGCAGCAGCCGCCACCUGAAGUCGAAGCUCCCGCACGCGGAGCUCCGUGUCGUGGGCGGGCGCGACCACAGGACGGUGGUGUUCGGGAGGGAGGAGGAGCUGGCCCAAGAGCUCCGGGCGUUCUAG
rnacentral:rRNA from 1 species